GCGCUCAGGAUGCGAACCCGUGAACCCUGGGCCACCGAAGCGGAGCGUGCAAACUUAACUACUCAGCCACGGGGCCAGCCCCUCAGCCUUUACUCUUGAAGAAUGCCAGAGGCACCUCAGCAGCCAAGACUUGACAAUCUCAGGACAGAUUUUGAUUUCACAUGGAAGGCGAUCAUUUGGCAAAGCUCUAAGGCAAGGUCCCAAGCACCUCCACCUGGAUUCUGGCAGCUGACACAUGCAGGUGUGUCCCCUGUGCCAGCCACGGCACUGUGCUCCAGGCACACGACAGUGAGUGCCUCCUCCAGCGACAGAGAGAGGAGAUCAAUAAUCGCACAUGGAAGCAUAAAAUGACAACCGUGAUAAGCCAAGGACACUCCGAGGGCGCGCAGAGCCGGUCAGAAGGAACCAGGCUGGUCCAAUCUGACUUUCCCGGGGUGAGAAUUAACAAGGGAGGUGGAGGUGCAUGUAGAGUGUUUUCGCCUCCCUUGCGGGGCUCCUGGGAAGCUGCAGGGAGACCUUAAUAGAUAAAAGAGUGACAACAUCCCAGGAGUGUGUUUGAGAUCCCACGGGAUCCCAAGAUCCCACUGUUUCACCACCACCAUGGAUUGGUUUUCAUACGGUAACGUCCUCGGUUUCCUCCUGCAAAUUUGCUUUGAUAAAUAUGCAUCUCAGACUUUCCUAAUGAAGAUUGAAUAAAGUCCUAAAACUCCUUA